rnacentral:rRNA from 1 species
GAGCGGAGAUGAGGUGCUUGCACCUUAUCUUAGCGGCGGACGGGUGAGUAAUGCUUAGGAAUCUGCCUAUUAGUGGGGGACAACAUUCCGAAAGGGAUGCUAAUACCGCAUACGUCCUACGGGAGAAAGCAGGGGAUCUUCGGACCUUGCGCUAAUAGAUGAGCCUAAGUCGGAUUAGCUAGUUGGUGGGGUAAAGGCCUACCAAGGCGACGAUCUGUAGCGGGUCUGAGAGGAUGAUCCGCCACACUGGGACUGAGACACGGCCCAGACUCCUACGGGAGGCGGCAGUGGGGAAUAUUGGACAAUGGGGGGAACCCUGAUCCAGCCAUGCCGCGUGUGUGAAGAAGGCCUUAUGGUUGUAAAGCACUUUAAGCGAGGAGGAGGCUACUGAGACUAAUACUCUUGGAUAGUGGACGUUACUCGCAGAAUAAGCACCGGCUAACUCUGUGCCAGCAGCCGCGGUAAUACAGAGGGUGCGAGCGUUAAUCGGAUUUACUGGGCGUAAAG